rnacentral:rRNA from 1 species
AUUAUCGCGCGGUGAAUACGUCCCUGCUCCUUGCACACACCGCCCGUCGUUUCAUUGAAGUGGGCUUUUAGCGAGGCGAUGUCUUAUUGGCAUUGUCGAACUUGAGGUCCGUGACAAGGGAAAAGUCGUAACAAGGUGACCGUAGGGGAACCUGCGGUCGGAUCACCUCCUUAGAC